UACAGAGGGUGCGAGCGUUGUCCGGAAUCACUGGGCGUAAAGGGCGCGUAGGUGGCCUGGUAAGUAGGGGGUGAAAUCUCGCGGCUCAACUGCGAGGCUGCCUCCUAAACUGUCAGGCUCGAGCAGAGUAGAGGCAGGUGGAAUUCCUGGUGUAGCGGUGAAAUGCGCAGAUAUCAGGAGGAACACCGGUGGCGAAGGCGGGUCUCUGGGCAGUAACUGACGCUGAGGAACGAAAGCGUGGGGAGCGAACGGG
rnacentral:rRNA from 1 species